UGCCAGCAGCCGCGGUAAUACGGAGGGUGCAAGCGUUGUCCGGAUUUACUGGGCGUAAAGCGCACGUAGGCGGACUGGAAAGUUGGGGGUGAAAUCCCGGAGCUCAACUCCGGAACUGCCUCCAAAACUACAGAGCUAGAGGAUGUGAGAGGUAAGCGGAAUUCCGAGUGCAGAGGUGAAAUUCGUAGAUAUUCGGAGGAACACCAGUGGCGAAGGCGGCUCACUGGCUCGAUACUGACGCUGAGGUGCGAAAGCGUGGGGAGCAAACAGGAUUAGAUA
rnacentral:rRNA from 1 species